rnacentral:lncRNA from 1 species
GCACUGUUUUCCUGGAAGAGGACAAGGCCUGGAUUGAGCAGAUCAGAGAGAAACUGCCCACCUUGGAGUCCUAUCAUGUGACAUACGACACCAGAGUGCAUCAGGCAGAUGGGCUCAUGGAGACAGGAAUGGGAGAUGAAUGCAAAGUAGUCGGUGAUCCAAGAUUCUCCAAGUGUCAGCUUGCCCUUAAAGGGUUCCCUGGUGAUAUCUAUGAUGUGGAAUGGGACUUGAUCAUGGUGGAUGCACCUACUGGGUACCAUGAUGAGGCUCCAG